ACGAUGAAGAGUUUGAUCCUGGCUCAGGAUGAACGCUAGCGGCAGGCCUAACACAUGCAAGUCGAGGGGCAGCGGGGAGUGCUUGCACUCCGCCGGC
rfam:Pseudozobellia thermophila strain DSM 19858 genome assembly, contig: Ga0070581_103